rnacentral:rRNA from 1 species
UCCUACGGGAGGCAGCAGUGGGGAAUAUUGCACAAUGGGCGCAAGCCUGAUGCAGCAACGCCGCGUGAGGGACGAAGGCCUUCGGGUUGUAAACCUCUUUUAGUAGGGAAGAAGCGACUGGGUUUUCCUGGGAGUGACGGUACCUGCAGAAAAAGCGCCGGCUAACUACGUGCCAGCAGCCGCGGUAAUACGUAGGGUGCAAGCGUUGUCCGGAAUUAUUGGGCGUAAAGAGCUCGUAGGCGGUUUGUCGCGUCUGCUGUGAAAACCCGAGGCUCAACCUCGGGCCUGCAGUGGGUACGGGCAGACUAGAGUGCGGUAGGGGAGAUUGGAAUUCCUGGUGUAGCGGUGGAAUGCGCAGAUAUCAGGAGGAACACCAAUGGCGAAGGCAGAUCUCUGGGCCGUAACUGACGCUGAGGAGCGAAAGCAUGGGGAGCGAACAGGAUUAGAUACCCUGGUAGUCCAUGCCGUAAACGUUGGGAACUAGAUGUGGGGACCAUUCCACGGUCUCCGUGUCGCAGCUAACGCAUUAAGUUCCCCGCCUGGGGAGUACGGCCGCAAGGCUAAAACUCAAAGGAAUUGACGGGGGCCCGCACAAGCGGCGGAGCAUGCGGAUUAAUUCGAUGCAACGCGAAGAACCUUACCAAGGCUUGACAUAUACCGGAAACGGCUGGAAACAGUCGCCCCGCAAGGUCGGUAUACAGGUGGUGCAUGGUUGUCGUCAGCUCGUGUCGUGAGAUGUUGGGUUAAGUCCCGCAACGAGCGCAACCCUCGUCCUAUGUUGCCAGCACGUAAUGGUGGGAACUCAUGGGAUACUGCCGGGGUCAACUCGGAGGAAGGUGGGGAUGACGUCAAAUCAUCAUGCCCCUUAUGUCUUGGGCUUCACGCAUGCUACAAUGGCCGGUACAAAGGGCUGCGAUACCGCAAGGUGGAGCGAAUCCCAAAAAGCCGGUCUCAGUUCGGAUUGAGGUCUGCAACUCGACCUCAUGAAGUCGGAGUCGCUAGUAAUCGCAGAUCAGCAACGCUGCGGUGAAUACGUUCCCGGGCCUUGUACACACCGCC